AGGGGGGGAAGUUCUUAUACUAUCUCACCCCUACAAAAAUCUCCAAUCUAACUGAAAGUCUCGGUAAAACCCUCCAUUUUCUUGAGUGCUCAACAGAAUACUGAAUGAUACUAAUAGCCCAUGAUCAACAACGAUACGAUAGGUGCACAUCCACCUUCACAUUCAUUUUUCCAAGAGCUCUCACAAAUAUCGAUAGUCUCAUCAUCACUCGCAGAGUCGUAAGUCGAAUCCACCAUCACUUGUAUAAACGACGUCAAAAUAGAUGUGCUCAUAUCAUUUGCUGCUGGAGAUGUAUUAUUAGGGUAUCCAAAAUGCAAACUUGAGCCUCGAGGUAGAAUAGACACUAUCUUACCUUUGUUAGAAAGUGUCCCAUCAAUUUCAGGUCUUCCCUUGGUGUAGGACGUCGUUCGACAUCCUUCUCAUAGGACUAACUUGAAAGACAAGAAACCAGGAAGAGGAUUCUGACUCAGAAGGGUUUCGUAACGGUCAACCCACCACCACUAUCAACGAUGAGUCUAACAUUGACAAAACCUAUAAACUUAUCAACUCCCAGCCAAAGGACCCUUACAAAAGAUGGAGAAGGGGAAGUGGAAGUGCAUUUAUACAACAGAAAUUUCCUCGGAGCAUAAACGCAAGAGUAACAAUGGCCACCUUCAAAAACAAUUCAGUAAAUUUCUCAUUGAGUAAAUUUACAACUUCGCUGGAAUGAGUACUGUGAAAAUAACAGAUGGAGGGAUAAACUCAGGGAAAACAAAUAGAAGACAAUUUCAUCGAGAAAUACCGACACAAUCAAUUCAUUUCAUACAGAAAGAAUGAAUCAAUCAAUACCAUCCUGACAUACUAAACUUGGGGAAUCAUUUCAAAGGACAAAACAUGCCAUAGAAUUGAGGGAAAUAAAGGACUAAUAAGAAUGAUGAGGAAGAAAACUAUGUUCAAGUCACCUAAACAUUGUGGCCUGACCAUUGAACAAAAGCCAUUCUUAAGAACGAAAUUAUUUACUUUUUCCAGCUGCUUUUGAUUGAGGUAGGGUUCCGAAUACCUUGUCCCAUAACGACGAAGUGA